rnacentral:rRNA from 1 species
GACGAACGCUGGCGGCGUGCUUAACACAUGCAAGUCGAACGGAGAGGCCCUGCUUUUGUGGGGUGCUCGAGUGGCGAACGGGUGAGUAACACGUGAGUAACCUGCCCUUGACUUUGGGAUAACUUCAGGAAACUGGGGCUAAUACCGGAUAGGAGCUCCUGCUGCAUGUUGGGGGUUGGAAAGUUUCGGCGGUUGGGGAUGGACUCGCGGCUUAUCAGCUUGUUGGUGGGGUAGUGGCUUACCAAGGCUUUGACGGGUAGCCGGCCUGAGAGGGUGACCGGCCACAUUGGGACUGAGAUACGGCCCAGACUCCUACGGGAGGCAGCAGUGGGGAAUAUUGCACAAUGGGCGGAAGCCUGAUGCAGCAACGCCGCGUGCGGGAUGACGGCCUUCGGGUUGUAAACCGCUUUCGCCUGUGACGAAGCGUGAGUGACGGUAAUGUGUAAAGAAGCACCGGCUAACUACGUG